UCUGGGUAGCGCAAAUGGUUAAGUGCUGGGCUCCUAACUGAAAGGUUGGCAGUUCAAAGUCACCCACAGGUGCCUCAGAUGAAAGGCCUGGCAUCUAUUUCUGAAAGGUCACAUCCUUGAAAACCCUAUGGAGGGCGAUUUUGCUCUGUCACACAUGGGAUCUCCAUGAGUCAGAAUCAACAAGACAGCAACUGGUGUGGAAUGUUUCGUUUGGUGUAACAGCACCCUUUGAGCAGGAAGACCUCAGCCUCACAGGGCUUUACUGAUCACAUUACAACUCAAGAAGAGGAAGUACAGCCUACACACAGGUCAGACCUUCCAGGUCUGUGGCUACAUUUCACAGGAAACCCAACCCAAAACGGAGCUAUGAGGAGGCUUCUGCUGAAGGACACUGCUUAGCAUUAAGAAAAUUCAGCCCACGCUCCUAAGGAUUAUCAGCUCCCGGAUCUCCAUGAUGCUGCCCUGGGCCUGCCUCCCAGGAGACCGACCUCCCAGCCCUGGGUCUUCUGCACACCCCACGCUGCCCAGGCGGAGCUGAAGGUCCCUCUUCUUUGCCAAGUGCCAAGAAAGAUGAACAGGCAGGGCAAAAGGACAACAAAAGAAGGAUCCAGUGAUCUGCAGUUCCGGAACCUCGCUCUGCAGAAAAACAGGUCAUGCCCUCGCAACCAGAGAGCCACAGGUGAGUCAGGGGUCCUUCAUCAUCUAAGUGGUGGACCAUCAGCAUACACCUGUUAACUGUUCUUCCCAUUCUUUUCUGUUUUCCCUUCAGUUAAACUGUUGGGUAGUUCAAAAUGACAUUAGCUACUUACCGUCUUCCUGCCAGUUGCUCCCUGGGUGCAGCCUCAUGUGUGGCUGACACAGACUUUGGAAUCUGGCAGACAGGUGGGAACCCUGGCCCCCACCUAUGAGCUGUGUAACCUCGGAUGAAGCAUAGAUCCCCCUGAGCCUGAGUUCCUUCAUCUGUGAAGUGGGUAUAAUUCUGCCUAACUGGCAGUGUUGGGGCUACUCAUUAAAGUUAGUUCAAUUCAACUCUACAUAAUAGGUUCCUCUCAAAAUACGGCUUUAGUAAAUGCAUGAAUCCGAAUUCACAUUUAUGCUCUUUCUGCAUUUCUUUUCAGAGCCUAGCUCCUCAUACUAGGCGCUUACUUUAAAAAAAAAAAAACACAGUUGCUCUUA